rfam:Acidithiobacillus ferrooxidans ATCC 23270, complete genome.
UGGGGGAUCGUCUAGCGGUAGGACCGCGGACUCUGACUCCGCUAACCGUGGUUCGAAUCCACGUCCCCCAG